rnacentral:sRNA from 1 species
CAAUAGCAUAGGUGACUCAAGGGUGGUUUGCGCAUUACUCUUUCCUUUAACGGAGGGUGGUGUAGCGGAUGACGGUGGCUGAGGCGUUGACGUUGAUGAUCGGAUUUGGAACGUUGAUUGUUGCGAUCUUGUCGGAAAAGAACGAGAAAAAAUAACCACCCUUGAGUUGGCAGCUCGAGAAGGGUGGUUACGUUACCUCUUUUUCGCGCAGAUCCCCUAGGGAAUCAUGCUAUUACUGGACAGACCGAUUGGUGUUGGCAGCACCGAACG